UACAGAGGUGGCAAGCGUUGUUCGGAAUUACUGGGCGUAAAGGGCGCGUAGGCGGCCUGCUAAGUCGAACGUGAAAUCCCCGGGCUCAACCCGGGGAACUGCGUCCGAUACUGGUAGGCUUGAAUUCGGGAGAGGGAUGCGGAAUUCCAGGUGUAGCGGUGAAAAUGCGUAGAUAUCUGGAGGAACACCGGUGGCGAAGGCGGCAUCCUGGACCGACAUUGACGCUGAGGCGCGAAAGCCAGGGGAGCAAACGGG
rnacentral:rRNA from 1 species